rnacentral:rRNA from 1 species
CGGCCAGACUCCUACGGGAGGCAGCAGUGAGGAAUAUUGGUCAAUGGGCUUACGCCUGAACCAGCCAAGUCGCGUGAGGGAAGACUGCCCUAUGGGUUGUAAACCUCUUUUGUCAGGGAGCAACGCCGGCUACGUGUAGCCGGACUGAGAGUACCUGAAGAAAAAGCAUCGGCUAACUCCGUGCCAGCAGCCGCGGUAAUACGGAGGAUGCGAGCGUUAUCCGGAUUUAUUGGGUUUAAAGGGUGCGUAGGCGGACGCUUAAGUCAGCGGUAAAAUUGCGGUGCUCAACGCCGUCGAGCCGUUGAAACUGGCGUUCUUGAGUGGGCGAGAAGUAUGCGGAAUGCGUGGUGUAGCGGUGAAAUGCAUAGAUAUCACGCAGAACUCCGAUUGCGAAGGCAGCAUACCGGCGCCCUACUGACGCUGAGGCACGAAAGCGUGGGGAUCGAACAGGAUUAGAUACCCGUGUAGCC